UCCACCCAAAAUUGAUCCAUUUACACCUUUGUAAGUUAUUUGCGUUUAUUGUGGUAAUGAAGAGAUGCAGUGAUGAUGCAAACAAGUGCAAAUUUUCAUGACUCACAUUGCA